GGGCAGGUUGAAGGGAGGGUAAUGCCUCCUGGAGGACCGAAGCCGUGAACGUUGAAAAGUUCUGGCAUGACCUGUGGGGAGGAGUUAAAGUCUAAUCAUACCCAGAGAUAUCUCGUUCUCCCCGAAACAGUUUUGGGACUGGCCUCGGGGGUCAGUGCAUGGGGGUAGAGCUACUGAAUGGACUUGGGGGUCUACCCGACUACCCGGUCCAAUCAAACUCCGAAUACCAUGCAUUUUGCCCCGGGAGUAAGUCCGCGAGCGAUAAUGUUCGCGGUCAAAAGGGAAACAACCCAGACCAUCGGAUAAGGUCCCUAAUCAAACCUCAGUUCUUAAGGUAGUCAGAUUGCUGUGACAGCCAGGAUGUUGGCUUAGAAGCAGCCACCAUUUAAAAAGUGCGUAACAGCUUACUGGUCGAGGAAUCUGGCGCCGAUAAUUAUCGGGAAUCAAGGUUUGUACCGAAUCCGUGGCAGCAGCAAUGCUGGGUAGGGGAGCGUCGCUGUCAGCGUCGAAGGGGUUCCGCGAGGGACUCUGGAGCGGCAGCAAGUGAAUAUGCCAGCUUGAGUAACGAUAAAGAGAGUGAGAAUCUCUCUCGCCGAAAGUCCAAGGUUUCCUGGGGAAGGUAAAUCCGCCCAGGGUUAGGCGGCUCCUAAGGCAAGGCCGAAAGGCGUAGUCGAUGGACAGCAGGUCAACAUUCCUGCCCCGCCAUGCAAGGUUGAACCGACGUGACGGAUCUGGAAGCUCGCACGGCCCUGUGAAGUGGGCAGGCCCUUGAGGCCGACGUGGGGUGGACAGGUUCCAAGAAAAGCCGUUCGGGGACGAGCAUGGUGGCCGUACCAAAACUGACACAGGUGGACGUGGCGAAUAGCCUCAGGCGCUCGAGAAAACGGUCGUGAAGGAACUAGGCAAUUUGACCCCGUACGUUCGCAACAAGGGGGCCCUCCUCGCAAGAGAGGGCGCAGAGAAAAGGCUCUGGGAACUGUUUAUCAAAAACACAGCACUGUGCGAACUCGCAAGAGGACGUAUACAGUGUGACGCUUGCCCGGUGCCGGAACGUCAAGGGAGCUGGUUAGCCGCAAGGCGAAGCUAGCGACUGAAGCGCCGGUAAACGGCGGCCGUAACUAUGACGGUCCUAAGGUAGCGAAGUUCCUUGUCGGGUAAGUUCCGACGCGCAUGAAUAGCGUAAUCACUGGAGCACUGUCUCCACGACCGACUCGGUGAAAUAGUAGUGGCGGUGAAGAUGCCGCCUACCCGCAGCAAGACGGAAAGACCCCGUGCACCUUUACUGUACGCUUGCAGUGGUCAUGGAUUUGUUCUGCGUAGCAUAGGUGGGAGCCUUUGAAGCCGAACUCUCGGGUUCGGUGGAGGCAAUAGUGAAAUACCACUCUGAAUGAAUUCGUGGCCUAACCCUGAAUCCCGUGAAGCCGGGCAGGGAACACUGCAUGCCGGGCAGUUUGACUGGGGCGGUCUCCUCCAAAAAGGUAACGGAGGAGUGCAAAGGUUGGCUCAGUGCGGUUGGCAACCGCACCAAGAGUGCAAAGGCACAAGCCAGCUUUAGUGCGAGCCAUACAGGGCGAGCACUCACGAAAGUGGGCCUUAGUGAUCCGGCGAUCCCGUGUGGAAGGGUCGUCGCUCAACGGAUAAAAGGUACGCCGGGGAUAACAGGCUGAUCGCUACCGAGCGUCCAUAGCGGCGUAGCGGUUUGGCACCUCGAUGUCGGCUCUUCGCAUCCUGGGGCUGAAGGCGGUCCCAAGGGUUGGGCUGUUCGCCCAUUAAAGCGGAACGCGAGCUGGGUUCAGACCGGCGUGAGCCAGGUCGGUCCC
rnacentral:rRNA from 1 species